UCAUCUCCUUCUCGCUAUGUGGGGUGGAUCACACAGGUCUCAGGCGAGUUCAAGUGAAAAUGCAAUUCUCUCCCGGUUGUAGCUGCGGUUGCCAUUCAUUCUUAAAUUGAAUUUUGCUUCGAAAGGUCGCUUCUCUAGCAAAGCUUACGCUUAACGAAAGUGGGUUUCAUCAAUAUAGAUAUUCAAGAAAGCUUUCCAGACCAUCUUUCUACUUUGAUGCCCUGAAGAAGAAACAAAAUCAUGGGAAAAAUGAUCAAUGUUGCAAUUUCAGAUAUAGUGGAGAUGAUAGCCAACCAUUUACUCUUCAAGGUUUACAAAUCGGAUGAUGAUGACAUCGACGGUGAUUAUUAAUAUCUUUUGUCGUAGGUGUCUUGAUCCAAUUAAAUCUUGGGAGCCCGUAGCCACUUCAGUAUGUCGUAAAUGUUGCUUUCUUAGCUACUGACGUGCGUCGGAGUAUAUAUAUUUUUAAUGUAUAUUUUAGUUCUUUUUACUCGCCGAUUCAAGUUUUA
rnacentral:lncRNA from 1 species